CUUAUGGCACGAAGUUUCAGCUGGUAGCAUGAUAGGUUUCAGAACACAAUUGAGCGGCAAAACCUGAAAAGCUUAUCUACAGAAAAGAAAAAUAGUAAGACCAACGCGUGGAGCGACAAAACGCGGCCCAACUGUGUUCAAAACACGGUGUGAGAGAUCGACCUUGUUUCAACUGGUCUUUGUGUCAGAAUGGACAUUGGACCAACCGUUCUGGAUUUUGAUGGAGAGCUAACCACUUGGAUCUAGAUUGAGAUAACGUGAAUAUAAUAUCCCGGGAACUGUGAACUGAAUAUCUUUUUGUGACCAUUUACUAGUGCUAGCUUAGCCACUCCGGAGCCGUGAAGCUAACAAUUAACUAGUGAUGCGCGAUAAUAAAAUUUUCAACCGAUAUCGAUAACCAAUAAUUUCCUGCCCCUUCCACCCGAUAACCAAUAAUGUCACGCCGAUAAUUCUAUUCAAAUAUGUAUGUUAAAUUUUAAAGUAUACAAAGAUCAAAUGUUACUGUGCAAAAAUGUAAUUUAGUGCUAUUUUUUCCACAUAAAAAUGUAAACAAGUAGUAAAAUCCAACAUCUAAACAAUGGCAAUGACAUUGUGUAAUGGUAAGCUUUUGGUAACAAUUACUUAGAGAGUAAACAACCAAGUUGCACAAAAAUGCCUUUAAAAGUAAGCCAUUCCUAACAUAUAUCACAUUACUACACUGCAAAAAUACCUCCUUAAAACUAGCAGAAUUGGACAAAAUUGUUGAUUGCGCACAUUUGGAGGCUAAAUCAAGAAUAUAAUUAUCGGAUUGCAUUAUCGGUUGAAUUUCAUUUUAUCUGCAUUAUCUGUGUGACGUCAUAAUUGCCAUUAUCGGCCGAUAAUUAUCGGUGACCGAUAUUAUCGUGCAUCGCUACAAUUAACUAACAAACUACACAGAAUUUGUUGAAAUCAACUCCACCAACUAAUUAAACCCUCGCUAACUCGAUGAUGUCAAAAAUUCUGAACUUCCCCUUUAAGGUCUCCUUAAGUACA